CCGCUCCAUCUGGAAAAAGAGCGCUUAACACAUCCAAAGUCAAAGUGGAGCUCCCUUCCCCACCUCCUUUGGCCAGGGACCUUGGAGUUUUAUUUCUUCUGGCCAUGGUCCCCAAACCACACCCUGAAACACAGCAACAUUGCCAAAUGCAAUUAAAGAGUUAAAAUGGAGGCAUGUAAGCUCAACAGAGUCUGAUGGUGUCAGUCGUGUUGCCAGUGGAUCACAGGAUAGUUCAGGUUGGGUUCAGUCCAACCUCCUGAUGAAAGCAGCGAAGUUUGGGACCCUCCUGACUUAAAGACAAUUCAUGUCAGGGAUUCAUAUUUUAUUCCCACCUUUGACACAGUAGUGAAUAAGAGUGGCCUGCCUCUUGCUUCAGCACAAAUCUGUAGAAAUAAGCCAACCAGGCAUCUUAAAAAUCAAUAUCCUGCCUAUGGCCUACAAAAUACACAUUUUUAUUUCUUCCCAGGAAAUUUGAAUGAAAUUAAUUAUAAUUUGCAUUGUAAUUAGUUUAAUCUUUUGAGGAUUAAUGACAAAAUAUUUUCAACUAUUACAUAUAUGUGUGUAUAUAUAUAUAUAUUUUAUUUGUAACUGAGUCAGAGACAGCCAUGGAUGUACGACAGUACAUCACUGGCCUAAUUUUUUGGUAUUCACAAACAUGUUUAAAUUGCUUUUCUAUUACGGAAAAUUUUUGUACUCACAGAACGGAGUCAGAAGUGACCUUACUAAUGCAAUAUAGUAGAGGACUAUGCCCUAAAUCUCAGUAUAAAUCUUACAUCGAUACUUUGAUAAAAAUAUACAAACUCCUGAAUGGUCUGGAGAAAUAGAUUCCCAUUUUCCAAUCAAGUAACUGAAAACAAUGGUGGGAAAUUAAGAAUGUUUAAAGCUGGCAAAUUCAAAAUGAAUUAAGAGAUUUAUUUAUACAACAAAUAAUUAGACUGUGGAAAUUACUCCCAUAGAAAGUUGCUAAAGCAGCUUAGUAUGACUUGAAAGAGAUGGGUGAUUUAUAUGAAUAAAGAGAAUUAAGAGAUCAUGAUAGAUGAAGUUAACAAAAAAUUUGGACUGAACAGAAUACCCUUUUUCUUCACAGCCUGUAACUAUCGGAAUUUGAAGAAAAUUCUCUGUUCCACUAUUUGCAAUAUCAGAUGUUAGAGACAGUAUAUUGGAUCAGAUCCAGCAUGAUGGUUCUGAUUUUGUGUUUGUGUCAUUAAGAACAAUUUAAUAGCAGCAAAAGUUAUAUCAACUGAAAGAAGGAAAUACCACUUCAUACAGCGUGAUAAUGGUAGACCUCCCUGUUACACAAGGUUACAGAGUCAAAUAUUGUGGCAAAACUUUGUUAAAAUCAAGGUAAAUUUAUGAGGACUAAAAACCUUUUUAGUAUUGCCUAUUAACUCUAAGGCAAUCAAAUUGUAUGUGGAUCAGAACUAGUUGUCCUAGAAGUUCUCUGUUCCACAAUUGAAUAGAUGCCCAAUAGGAAGUUGUUGACCAUCAGCUAUUUUGCGCCGAACCAGGCUUUGUUCUGUGUUUUUGCAGCUCAGCACCAGCUGGAUACCAGACUUGAGGAACCAAUCAUCUGGUGCUGGAUGUCGCAUCCAGCGAGGAUUGGAUCCAUCCUCCAUCCAAUUGGAGGAUUCCAAGAAGAGAGAGAAUUAGAUGCUACAGCCCAGUGAAAUUAACAAAAGAUAUCAGGGACAUUGGUUACGAAGUCAUCAGUACCUUCAAGACAGAGGCCAAGAAUCUAUAUUCCUUCUGAAACAGUGUACAGAACAGAAGUUGCCCUUGACGUGUUCUUGAGCCAAGAACUGAAGCUGAGUGCUGCAUACUCUGUCCCAUGCUGUCAGAUGCUACUCCCUGAACUGACCAGAUGAAGAGAAAGAUGUGGUCAAAAUGGAAACCACUACAAGGAGAUGAAAAGCAGACAACUUUACACAAGUUAGAAAACCAGCCGAAGAGAGACAGGUUUGAAUAGGAGGACGCAGGCUUUGGAAGAACACUUACCAGUCACAGGUGGGUAGGAGUUACUUUCUGAGUGUGCAGCUAGGUAGAUGGCAGAUGAGAGGGUGAGAGUCUAGAGACAAAGAGAAAGGAGUUUAGAGGGAUGUUUAAAAGGGGGAUGCAAAAACCUGGAAUUCAGAAUGAGCAGAAGGAUUAGAUGAAGGCCAAAGAAAGCAAGAUGUAGUAGAUUAUAGAGCAGAAGGGUUGCUGCGCACAAAAGGGACAGGAUUUCAGAGCCCUUUGUCUCUGCAUUGCUCUAUCACCUGUAAAUAGCAUGAAACCUGUUAGCGAGAAAGGCACUGCACCCCUUUAAAAUGUUGUUCCAUGUGGAGAACAACAGACUAAUCCUGGAACAUUUCAACCUGUUUGUUAGUUCCAGUGUCAGGUCUGUGCUGUGCAUCUAAUGGGCCAAAGACUGAUGAUGACCCAACUCAUGUUUCCAAAACGUACAGUUCCAGAAGAUAACACACACUAAAAUAGCAUAGUCUGCAAAGUUAAAUACUUAGAAAUUAUGAACAAAGGAGAACAUUCCGUCUGCAACUUUAAUUCAGUAUCCAACAGCAUCAGUGUCAAUAUGUAAACUUAAUUCCAGGUUAAUGAGUUAUUUUUUUCUCCAAGACCUUGAUUCAUUCAGUGAACAAUACUGGUAACAGUCAGGGAACCAAAUGCAGUUGUGCAAUAAAGCAGGCUGUUGCUAAUGUAAACCCUGUAUUUAUAUAACCUAGAAGUGGGAACAGGAUGAAGAAGUAGUAUAGAGGAUUCCUCCAGGCCUGGCCUCAUCCACUAUUUCCAGUUAUCCCACACCAGCCACUUUUCUCACUUGUUCUUUCUUUCUACUUUCCAGUUCUGCUCUCCAUCAGCAUCCAUUCCUUCUUCAGGAAUUUUGUCAAGGCAUGACAGAGCCCUUCACAGAGUCUUGCUGGUUCAGCCUAGAUGCCAUUUUGAUGAUAAAAGCUAAUUCUGAAACAAAAGUCAGUUUCCUGUCAAAUAUUAGAUCACCCAUGCAUAGGAGACUAGGGUUUCUCAGAAAAAGUUAUCAGAUUUUUUUAUGGUCCAAUAUGAUUUUUCUUGGUCUAAUUCUUAAGAAUAGGAUAAUUGUAUUUGUUAACAAGAAAAAAAGUCCAUUCUGAGGCAAUAUAGUGAAAAUAGUCUACACGAUACAAGUUUAGAAAAAAUAAAAACAUACAAAACACUGUCAACUUCUAAAUUUCUGACAAGUUUAGCUGUAUGGAGUUCUACCAGUUCUGUCAAUAGUUAAAAUACUUCUUUUUUUUUCUGACUGCAAAUUUCUUGGUGUGAAGAUACUGUCAUGCCCCAUAUUCUGCACACCACUAAGUGACACCAUAAAUUUUCAGUACUCAAGCAGUAAGCAUAAUCAUUAGUAUUAAAAAGAAGAUAUAAUCCUUACUUGCAUGUUGAGUAAAGAAUGUAAUGCUAUUACUACAAAGUUAGUCUCAGGUUAUGUUUUCUGCAGAAGUAAACAGAAACACAUAUACCAUAAAAUGACAGAAAAAAAGUUACACUAUGACUAACAUUUUUAUUUUAGACUGAAAAGUUAAUAGUAGAACUGAAAACAUGGCCUAAUAAUCUAAGUAUUUGACUUUAUACAUAAACUUUAAUUCCUAUGUCUCACUACUUCUAAUGCAGUAAUAACACAUAUCAAAGUAUGAUUAAAACUGAUUCACUGAAGUCUUAUUUGCCCCAGUUUUCAAUUCAUCUGUUCUGCAAACAGGCAUUGAUUACUGCUGACUUUGGUGAGAAUCAUUCUAACAGGUGAUAAGAAAAAAGUAUAGGUUCAUUUCCUUGUGGUUUUUAUUUACUGUCCAGUAUAAACUUCCCAACUCAGAAAUAAUGCUAUUUGUGGUAUCAGGCCAACAGGAUUCUGAUCCUGAAUGUGGUCUUUUAACUACUGCUGUGGUACUAGCACAUAGGAUUUUGGAAAACAAAAUAAUGUUUUUUUUUUCCUGAAUACCUGAAAGGAGACUUUCCUUCCUACAGCAGUUAUGUCUUUGCUUAGGGGAACAAUACUGCUUUCUCAGAAGAAAACAUGUAUCACUCAAGUUUCCUUCAUAAAAGAGGCUAGUGACUGGACCAGCUUGAGAGGUAACCAUUAUUCUUGGGAGGAUUUAGCUCCGGCUUUGCUGUAUGUCCUAAGAAGGAGACAAUUUGCUAAACUCUGUAAAGUGCUCUUUUGAUGUGGAUAACUUUCUUUCAAGGUGAAGAGAGGAAUAUGUGAGUAUUUUCAACAAAGUGCCUGCUUGUGGAAAGAAAGGCGCUCCUACCUUUAUCUUCCCAGAAGUUCCACUCCUUAUUUUACUAAAAAACAACCAAAAGACACACAGUUCAUCCUGAUGUUCCCAGGCACUAUACUUCUCUCCCAUCACUCCCGCUGGUUCUUUUUGCUUGACUAGAAAUAAGGAGCCUUACUAAGAGCUAGAGCAUUAGACUUACUGGAAAGGGAAAUGUUUCUCAGUUAUUUCUCCUGCCUUCCUUAGCACUAGCACUAUUCCAAAAUAGAAUAGGCCUAGAAUAGGCCUUAAAUUUGAAAAAUUUCUCGAUAGAACCUACUGCAUUUGGAGAAACCUCUUUAACUGAAAUAGCUUUAUUUCUAACAAAAACUCUUGCCUGAAUGCAUAAUAUCUAUAUAAGGUUGCUUUACAUAGGAAUGACUAUUUUUCCUUCAAUAAGUAACAGCUGUAACAAUGUAAGUCGCUUACAAUCACUGUAAGUGAGGGGACAAGGGAUGUAAUAAUUUACUGGUAUCAAUUAGCUGCAGCAAGAAGGAGGACAAGUUAGAUCAAAAAUGUGGACAGUCCUAGGCACACUGAAGAGCUGCAACAUGGCUACUUGAAGGUUUAUUAUUCUCUGUGUUUUGCAUAUUAGGUCCUCUAAUAUUUUUGUAUAUUAGUAUUGCAAAAGCAUUUUUUCAUGGUUAAACAAUAAGAUCAAAUGAAGGACAGAGAAUUAACUGCAUAAUCAGAGUAUUUAGAUCUCAAAUGUAUUUUUGCUGAUCUUAUCCAUGUAGUCUGUACCUGCUGAGAUGGAGGGUUUACAGCUGUUGUGAGAUAACUUAACUUUUCCAUCUGUUUGUAGUAAUUGCUUCUCUGGAAACCUACAGCAUGAGUGGUGAUACUGACUUUUCAAAGUAUCAGCCCUCAAAGGUCAUGAACUAUUUCUUAAAGGACAUUACAUUGAUAGAAUGCCUUUGUAUGGUCACUACAUUUAGAGGUAUUGUACAUAGCUUCAAUUCAAAAUGCUUUUUAGUCUGCCAGCCUGUAAAACAGGAUGUAUGUGUGAAGAAAUAUUUGCACUGAUGUGUCAGUUUUUGACAUUUGUUUUUAUUUGU